UGCCACAGCCGCAAAUUACGCCCACUAUUGUGAACAAGGUUCUUAAAGUAAAACACGUCUGGUUUUGUUAUGAGCACAUAGCACUCCAAGCCCAAAAGGCCUCGCAUUAAAUUGAUGCAAGAGAAGGCUUUGGAAAAUAACAGCAGUUUGUUGUGUGGUCCAGUACGCCCUUCGACUCGCAACCUGAAGAAAGCAGAACUCAAACUCGUCUCUUAGCAAUAUCAGCAAGGCUAGCAUGUCAUCUCAGCUUCUUGAACUUCAGUGAACUUUACUAGCAAACAUGACUAACGUCAUUGAAGUGAAAGUCGAUGACAACCCCCUUCUUGCACAAAUACUACAAUUGCUUAAGAAAUUCAGCACGGAGACGUCUUGCGUCAGACUACCAAGCCUCCUAUCAAUAUCUUCUCCCAUGUUGGCUACAUCAACACUUCCAACAGCAGAGCCUUGGUGAGUUCGACUUCCGUCUCGGCAUCGAUGUCGCUUAGCAACAAUUGGAUGAUUGCGUCGACAAAUUAGGCCGGACAAGUUGCUCGAACUGUAACGAUCUGAUUCAACAGGUAGAGCAGGCGUUGCCUGACACGUCCGUUAAUGUGACUGACCACGAUAGUUGUUCUCGAAAAAUGUGAACCUUAGGCCUGGAGAGCAGUAUGCGAUUGACGCCAUUCAACAACAGUUGUUGUCGGCAAUUCUUGGGUUUGGGGUGGCGACUUCGGCGUCGGGACUCACUCCAUCUCUGUCUAUGGCCCAGUCGCAGCAGCAGCAGCAACAAGAACAAUAAGUAGUAUCUUAGCGGUGUUCUGCGAUUUGGGGAUUCAUGUAUGUGCUUAAAUUGUCAUCCCAGAUUAGCCUGUGCAGACUGCACAUACAUUAAGCCCUAUUAAGUGUCAUCCCAGAUUAGCCUGUGCAGACUGCACAUACAUUAAGCCCUAUUAAAGUGUCAUCCCAUAUUAGUCUGUGCAGACUGCACAUACAUUAAGUCCUAUUAAAGUGUCAUCCCAGAUUAGCCUGUGCAGAUUGCACAUACAUCAAGUCCUAUUAAAGUGUCAUCCCAUAUUAGCCUGUACAGACUGCACAUACAUUAAGUCCUAUUAAAGUGUCAUCCCAGAUUAGCCUGUGCAGACUGCACAUACAUUAAUUCCUAUUAAAGUAUCAUCCCAUAUUAGCCUGUGCAGACUGCACAUACAUAAAAACCUAUUAAAGUGUCAUCCCAGAUUAGCCUGUGCAGACUGCACAUACAUUAAGCCGUAUUAAAGUGUCAUCCCAUAUUAGCCUGUGCAGACUGCUCAUACAUAAAAACCUAUUAAAGUGUCAUAUCAGAUUAGCCUGUGCAGACUGCUCAUACAUUAAGUCCUAUUAAAGCGUCAUCUCAGAUUAGCCUGUGCAG